AGAGUUUGAUCCUGGCUCAGAACGAACGCUGGCGGCAGGCUUAACACAUGCAAGUCGAGCGCCCGCAAGGGGAGCGGCAGACGGGUGAGUAACGCGUGGGAAUCUACCUUUUGCUACGGAAUAACUCAGGGAAACUUGUGCUAAUACCGUAUGUGCCCUUUUGGGGAAAGAUUUAUCGGCAAAGGAUGAGCCCGCGUUGGAUUAGCUAGUUGGUGGGGUAAAGGCCUACCAAGGCGACGAUCCAUAGCUGGUCUGAGAGGAUGAUCAGCCACACUGGGACUGAGACACGGCCCAGACUCCUACGGGAGGCAGCAGUGGGGAAUAUUGGACAAUGGGCGCAAGCCUGAUCCAGCCAUGCCGCGUGAGUGAUGACGGUCUUAGGAUUGUAAAGCUCUUUCACCGGUGAAGAUAAUGACGGUAACCGGAGAAGAAGCCCCGGCUAACUUCGUG
rnacentral:rRNA from 1 species